AAGGAGGUUCAAACAUCAGGCAACUGUGAGAUCCUUGCAGUGUCCAAGAUUCCAUCAUCUGGAAACCUGGAAAGUCUGGAUUUGGAAAAGGAAAAUCUGCCAGGGAUUGAAGUCAGCAUUCAUGGAGAAUAAGAGUGUUACCAAAGGAAGAAGGAAAAAUGAAAGUUGAUAAAUCAGGGGUCUGAAAUCAGAGUGGCAGAAAGUUAAAAAAGAAACAUGGACAUAAAGAAGGGCAGAGCAGCAAGAAACUGAAAUUUGUGAGAAUAAACCAGAACCCAUGAAGAUAGACUGGAAUCGACAUAAGUUGUCACUGUCUUCAGUGAUAUGGGUGAUCUAUGGUAGAAGCUUGCUCCCUUCCUCAUGAUGUUAAACACACAUGGCCCACGAGUCAGGGUAGCUGAAGGAGGGAAUGGUUGACAGCUGGGGGAGCAGCAAGGCUUGCUGCUAUUCUAUGCCAACAAGGUGAGCCAGUAGAUAAUCAGCAAAGUACCUACCUGGCAAAACCAGACGCCCUACACUGAUUUUUGAAGCCUAAGAGGAAUAUGACUGCUUCUUCAUUUCCAGUUUCCAAAUCUUGUGUAAAAUGUCUCCACUUGCCUGUACUGACAUAGAACUAUUCAGGGUAAGGAAUUACAAGAAACAUGCUCCAUAUUAGCUGAAUGGACACAAGACGAAUCCGCCAUAGUCUACCUCUUUUUAGCUUGGCAUUCAUAUCUUUAUCAUCAUCUUUAAAAACUUUAUUUAAUUUCCAAAUAAAUA